UCAUAUUUUUUCAGAAAAUGUUGGAGGAACACAGCAGGUCUGCCUCAUCUGUGGAGAAGCAAAGAAUGGCGAUUAUAAGUAAGGAACUGCGGGAUGAGAGGCACCAUACCGUCCCAGGAGAGGUUCCCAGAGACAACUUAACACGUCCAUGGAGUUUUUUCUGUUUCCCUGCGUUCUUCAAAGUCUGGCACGUUUAAUUCUAUCAGUCUUGUUACUUCUUUCAAACUAUUAUUUCUGCCCUUCACAUAUUUAGUAAAUUUUGCAGAGCACUCUACAAAAUACCACUCAACAAAAGACGGGAGCAUGCGUCCUGAAAAAUUCUUAAACCUGAAAUGUUAUCUUGCUGUCUUGUUUCGCCUCCGUUGUCUGAAUGGCUGAUGAAUAUAUUUUUAAAGUUGGCUUUUCCUUAAUUUGUUUUCAUUUAUUUUUUGUCUAUUUAGGCCCAGGUCCUGUUUGGACUUUCAAUAUUACCAUUGACGAAAAAUUAAUUUCUCAUCAACCUGGAAGAGUCGCUGUGCCCGGAAACGUGGAGAGGAAAGUUGGCCUUUUAAAUAAUCAUGAGCUGGGACGCAAGAGCUUGUUGCCAAGCAACGAAGUACAUCAAUGUACCGCAACCUGACUUCUAUACUGUCUGUUACCUAUUUCGUGAUUACUUUUGAAAUAAGCAAAAGGUUAGUGUUAAAUCAAUCUACCUACAUAUAUCCAUUAUGUGUCGAUAAUGUUUAUACCUCGAUAAACAAAAAUAUCAAUUCAGAAACAAAACCAUUGAGAUUUGGUUCCAAAUUUCCCCUAUUAAUUCGUUUUAGUCCCAGGCGUAUUUCUGUUUUUCACUUGUGGUUUCCACUGUUCUGCUCUCCGAGGACUGGCUCAUUUACCUAAUUAUAAUGAACUAAUCAACUAGGUGUUUUGCACCGCUCAUCGAAGUGCAAUGUACCUGGCCAGGACAAUGCUAAUGCAGACUCAUUAGUGACUACUGCAAGCAAUGGAAAAUGCUGAAUAGGAGGGGGUGGGGAUAAUUAAAACAAGACGAAACAACGAAACGGAAUGGAAAUUAACAACAUGGUUGGGCACCAUUUUUAAAGAUCAAUACGAUUGACUUUUAAAUCCCCCUCGUGUUCCUCUUAUGAAACUGCCGCUCGUUUUACAAAAAGCGAAAGGAUCCCGUC